CGUCACUAAUUGGGGGGUGGAGUGGGCAUCUGGUAGGCCAUCUAAAUGCUUUAGAGGCAGGCGUAUAUAUAGACACCUGGGGGUCCUUACACGGUAUGUUGUCACCCUGCUGCCGGCACUGGUGUGAGGAAGCCAUGCUGUGGGUGCGGUCUUGCUGUGAGUAGCGUGUGUGUGUGGGAGCUGACCCGACCGUGUUUUACAAGUGUUUGCGUGACCAUUUCCCUAUACAAGCACCCGCUGGGUAUUGUGGCUGCCGUGGGGUACCUGCUACAAACGCAGUGUUCCUCACUGACUAACGUGAGCGGCAGACGUGUUUAACGGCAAUGGGAUUUGUUAGUUGGUGUUCUCUACACGUAUGAUUGUGGUGGUGAUUUAUUGCUUAACUAGAUUUUGGUUUGUUUUUUCCUCUAGCCUGUUGAUUGUAACGAGUAUUGUAAGUGAGUGCAGUUAUUGUACAUCACAGGCUAGAGUGGUUUCUUUAUUCCUUUGUUUUGUCCCCCCUCCCUCUCGUGUAGCCAGCCUCG
ensembl:lncRNA